UCUCGCCCUGUGGUGGUAGAUGUUCGGGGCCGCACGCGCGCUACACUGAGCGGAUCAGCGUGUGCUCUCCUUGGCCGACAGGUCCGGGAAACCCGUUGAACCCCGGUCGUGCUAGGGAUAGGGAAUUGCAAUUAUUUCCCUUGAACGAGGAAUUCCCAGUAAGCGCGAGUCAUUAGCUCGCGUUGAUUACGUCCCUGCCCUUUGUACACACCGCCCGUCGCUACUACCGAUUGAAUGGUUUAGUGAGGUCCUCCGAUUGGACCCGGUCCGGGCGGCGACGUCCGAGCCGGCGUCCGAGAAGACGAUCUAACUUGAUCAUUUAGAGGAAGUAAAAGUCGUAACAAGGUUUCCGUAGGUGAACCUGCGGAAGGAUCAUUA
rnacentral:ncRNA from 1 species